rnacentral:rRNA from 1 species
GAUGAACGCUGGCGGCGUGCCUAAUACAUGCAAGUCGAGCGAACGGACGAGAAGCUUGCUCCUCUGAUGUUAGCGGCGGACGGGUGAGUAACACGUGGAUAACCUACCUAUAAGACUGGGAUAACUUCGGGAAACCGUAGCUAAUACCGGAUAAUAUUUUGAACCGCAUGGUUCAAAAGUGAAAGACGGUCUUGCUGUCACUUAUAGAUGGAUCCGCGCUGCAUUAGCUAGUUGGUAAGGUAACGGCUUACCAAGGCAACGAUGCAUAGCCGACCUGAGAGGGGGAUCGGCCACACGGGAACUGAGAAACGGCCCAGACUCCUACGGGAGGCGGCGGUAGGGAAUCUUCCGCAAUGGGGGAAGGCCUGACGGAGCAACGCCGCGUGAGUGAUGAAGGUCUUCGGUUCGUAAAACUCUGUUAUUAGGGAAGAACAUAUGUGUAAGUAACUGUGCACAUCGUGACGGUACCUAAUCAGAAAGCCACGGCUAACUACGUG